AAUUUAUUCUUAUUUUUCCUCUUCACUCCAAUUUCUUUAUUUCCCUGUAAACCCUCUCUUGCCUAAACAAAUAUCAUUGGGAUUUUCCAAAGAGGCCGUCAACAACAAUUGCAUAUAUCUCUCGAGUCUUCCAUCUUCCACCAUAGCUGGAAACAGAGCAGACAUGCCUGAAAACUGUUGCGCUUUUCAUAAAUUUCUGCAAUACUAGAAGGAUAGUCGAAUGGUGCUCUUGUUGCACCUCAGGAUUGCCGGUAUUUGCAUAGAUUCUUGAUUAUCAAAGCAAGGGAUUACACGCUUUGAAGGAGCCUGUCAUGGUCAUUGUGACUGGACUUUCUUCUAGGUGGAACAUUAAUGAGGUACUUGCUGAACAUGAGCCCGAGGUGCUUGGAUACGCAUGUUGCUAUUGGAUACUAGCAUAGUACACACCAUGCUACAAUGUUAUACUUAAUGGUUGUUCUACCCGGUAGAGCUCAAGACUAUUACUAUACCUUAUCAAGCUCCAGUUGAUUGGCGAUAGUGGCCCAUACAACAUGAUGUUCAAAUAACAUGUGGAAGAUUUCAAUACUAUGAAGAGUUGCGGGAAUCGUGUGAGGGCUAUGCAUUAGAAAUUUAUUAUUGUGGGUAUUCGAUAGGAGUAGCCACUUUAGCUAUUUAGUUUAAACUUGUAAUAUUACCUUUUAGUUCGUUGUACAUUAGUAUUAUGAAAUAUUAGUUUUUGUUUGUUGAGAUUUAAUGAAAUACAUUAUGUUAUUCAAAAUCAAUUAGCACUUUACAUUAUAA